rnacentral:rRNA from 1 species
AUACAUGCAGUCGAGCGGACCUUUCAAAGCUUGCUUUUGAAAGGUCAGCGGCGGACGGGUGAGUAACACGUGGGCAACCUGCCUGUAAGACUGGGAUAACUUCGGGAAACCGGAGCUAAUACCGGAUAAUAUAAGGAACCUCCUGGUUCUUUAUUGAAAGAUGGUUUCGGCUAUCACUUACAGAUGGGCCCGCGGCGCAUUAGCUAGUUGGUGAGGUAACGGCUCACCAAGGCGACGAUGCGUAGCCGACCUGAGAGGGUGAUCGGCCACACUGGGACUGAGACACGGCCCAGACUCCUACGGGAGGCAGCAGUAGGGAAUCUUCCACAAUGGACGAAAGUCUGAUGGAGCAACGCCGCGUGAGCGAUGAAGGCCUUCGGGUCGUAAAGCUCUGUUGUUAGGGAAGAACAAGUGCGAGAGUAACUGCUCGCACCUUGACGGUACCUAACCAGAAAGCCACGGCUAACUACGUGCCAGCAGCCGCGGUAAUACGUAGGUGGCAAGCGUUGUCCGGAAUUAUUGGGCGUAAAGCGCGCGCAGGUGGUCCUUUAAGUCUGAUGUGAAAGCCCACGGCUCAACCGUGGAGGGUCAUUGGGAAACUGGGGGACUUGAGUGCAGAAGAGGAAAGU